rnacentral:rRNA from 1 species
GCACAAGCGGUGGAUGAUGUGGUUUAAUUCGAUGCAACGCGAAAACCUUACCCACCUUUGACGUGGCAGGAAUCCUAAAGAGAUUUGGGAGUGCUCGAAAGAGAACCUGCACACAGGUGCUGCAUGGCUGUCGUCAGCUCGUGUCGUGAGAUGUUCGGUUAAGUCCGCUAACGAGCGCAACCCUCACUGUGUGUUAUAUGUGUCACACGGGACUGCCGGUUUUAAGCCGGAGGAAGGUGGGGAUGACGUCAAGUCAGCAUGGCCUUUAUAUCCUGGGCUACACACACGCUGCAAUGGUCGGUACAAUAGGUUGCCAAGCCGCGAGGCGGAGCCAAUCCAAAAAGGCCGGCCUCAGUUCAGAUUGUAGGCUGCAACUCGCCUGCAUGAAGAUGGAGUUGCUAGUAACCGCAGGUCAGCAAUACUGCGGUGAAUACGUUCCCGGGCCUU